GUCAGCAUUCCCGCAGGCUGCACGCAGUGAUUCUGGUUAGGCUGUAAGACACCUUUCAUUCCGUAGCCUAGCGCCAAGCGUGGCCCCUGUGGAAGGAAAAAGGCAGCUACCUGGGGGUCAGCUUCGGCGGAGGCAGCUGCCCAGCUGCACUGGCGUCGGGCGUGGCGAAAGCGAGGAAGCGCUAAAACAGCCAGACAGAGGCAGCCGCAGCUGAGGUGGCAGAGGCAGCAAAAGCCGCGGUGGCAAGGGCAGCAACAGCAGCAGGAGCCACAGCAGGCGGCAAGCAGGCAGUCCCCUGGAUGUUGAAUACGGGCAGUACUCUCCUGUCAGAGCCGAGACGAAGGAAGACUAGAGCAGAAAACACUGGGAGUGGAGGGAGUUGGGGGAGUCGUAGUCGUGGUGGAGAGGGCGGGUUGACUCCUUCUUCCUUUUCACUACUUCACUCUAUCCCAUACAUCAUUCUCGGUACUCAUUCCCCAUAGCACUCUCCCUCCACCCCCAUCCUCAUCCCCAUCACACACACACACACACACACACACACACACACGCCUUCUUUUUUCUCCCCUUCCCUUCUCACCACUCCUAGAAGCUCCCGUUUGGAAAUGGAGACAAGCAACUCUCAUCAGGACUCAUCAGCAUCCCACAGUCCUGAAGAGAUGAACUAAGGGGGAGGCAGGAGGCCUUUGCUGCUGAUGGAUUGCACUAGUUCUUAGUGCAAUCGCCUGGAUCCAGGGGCCUGAGAAGCAGCAGCAGCCCCAGUCGCAGCAGCAGUAGCAGUCUUGGUAUUGAGUAAGGGACUCAGAGCCCCCACCCUUCUGAAGCCAAUGCACCUCCUUAAAAAGGGCCACUCGGGGAAGUAAAGCUACCAGCCAGACGCAGCGAAACAACACAGACAGGCAAACCAGCAACGACACAAACUAAAUAGGAAAUCCAACUCAACUGCGUUUGUUUCCAAAAAAUCAUAAACACCCAAGGACAGUAAAAUGAGCUCUCCUUCUUUCUUCCCUGAGAAGAGCACGAUGUUUCUCCAUUCCACAUCCCUUUCUUACCUCCUUUUCCCCUCCUCAAAGAAAAACUAAC
rnacentral:lncRNA from 1 species